UUUCUUGAUUAGUGGCGCACGGGUGAGUAAUGCAUAGAUAAUGUGCCCCUUAGUUCGGGAUAGCCACUGGAAACGGUGAUUAAUACCGGAUACUCCUUCUUGUUAUAAGACAAGUCGGGAAAGUUUUUCGCUAAGGGAUCAGUCUAUGUUCCAUCAGCUUGUUGGUGAGGUAAUGGCUCACCAAGGCUAUGACGGAUAUCUGGUUUGAGAGGAUGAUCAGACACACUGGAACUGAGACACGGUCCAGACUCCUACGGGAGGCAGCAGUGAGGAAUAUUGCACAAUGGAGGAAACUCUGAUGCAGCAACGCCGCGUGGAGGAUGACGCAUUUCGGUGUGUAAACUCCUUUUAUUAGGGAAGAUAAUGACGGUACCUAAUGAAUAAGCACCGGCUAACUCCGUGCCAGCAGCCGCGGUAAUACGGAGGGCGCAAGCGUUACUCGGAAUCACUGGGCGUAAAGGGUGCGUAGGCUGGCUUUUAAGUCAGAUGUGAAAUCCAAUGGCUCAACCAUUGAACUGCAUUUGAAACUGAAAGCCUAGAGUUCAGAAGGGGCAGAUGGAAUUAGUGGUGUAGGGGUAAAAUCCGUAGAUAUCACUAGGAAUAUCAAAAGCGAAGGCGAUCUGCUG
rnacentral:rRNA from 1 species